GUUAUAUGGGGCUUCGCCUCCUGCUCACGCGGGACCUGGACAGACAGCUCCUGGCCCCUUGGAUGUGGCUGUGCCCUCUGCCUGCCUUUGUCACUUGUGGGAGGAUGAACCAAGGUGGCAUUCCUGCCUUGGAGUGGCUGUCACCGCAGGCGAUCCCCUUCUCCGUCCUCUGCACGCAUGGCAACGGGCCUGGCAUCCUGGAAGAUGCUGAGGCCGUUCAGAAGCUCCACUGUCCAUAAGUCCUGCAGCUCUGCAGUGGGGCAGCCAGAUGCCUGGCCAGAAAUACCACUGAUACAGCGUAGGGACCGGAGCCCCACAGUCUGGGGACACAGGACUGACUGAGGUACCAUCCACCUGCCUCUGUCUAAGCAGACAUCUUCUCCUGCGGCUAUUUUACCUGGGACUCUUCAAGCCAUCUGGAAAAACUCCAAUGGUGGGGUGACACUUUCCAGAGGCCUGGCAUCUAGCCCCCACUCACCUGCCCAGUUAUCUCUGCCACUUUGCCCUUCACUCCCUCUGGACCGGAUGCACAGAGCUCCCAGCAUCUCCAGGCAGCCCCUCCCUCUCUCUCACUUUGGAGCUCAUCACUCCACCUGGCACACGUGGCAGGGGCUCUAUACACCCUCCCCGAGUUGAUGGAUGACCCGUCCAGCAGCAUGGAGGAAGCGGGACUAUGCCCCAGAACAGAUCUGCCCCCUACUUCUCUGCCCUUAGGGGGAGCCUGCCAGAUGGCCUCUCACCCUCAUAGCGUUUCUUUCUUAAGCCUCAGACCCUUCCCCGCCUCCUAGUAUUGGAUGCCUGAGCCUCAACCGGGUGCCUCCAACGGCCUCCGGAGCCCCAGCUACCUUAGGCAGCCUUAAUUAAUUGUAAAAUUGAUGAAGCGGCCCCCUUUGUUAGGCUGGGCUGGUGUUUAUUUGUAUUUUCAUAUUAUUAUCCUUUUAUACUUCUCUGGGCGCCUUCCGCUCUCUACUGACACCUUUUAUUGGGGAAAUGUUAAUUUAAAAAUCAUCUAUAAUGCAGGUGUCACAAAUCAAAGCUGUUCGGUAAUGAGUUGCUCUUAUGUCGUAUAAAAACAAUUAAUUAAAACCCUUUCUGAGAGAGCCGUGCCGGCAGAUUUAUGUUUCCCAGUGUCUCCCCUCGACCUUCCUUUUUAAGGACCCUCGUGCACUCAUCUGCCUUCUGUGGGAGGAUGGUUUCCUCCUACCUCUGCCCAGGAAAUAGAGUCCUAGCCCGGUGGAGUGGGGACGGUGCCAGGAAGGCAUCUGGGCUUGCCUCUGUGGCGUAGAGCGCCGAGAGGGACUUUGCUCUGGUCACAUAGCAAUCGAGUGGCAGUGCCAGGCUCAGAACAGCCUCUGCUGCCCAGGUCCUGUCCUUGUCAUGACUGCUGGUGCCUCUCCUGCCGUCCUCCCGACGAUGUGCAAGCACAUGCCCUGCUGUUAUGCCGACGCUGGGCUAGGAAAUAGCACUCGUUUCCCCACUGACAGGCACGCUCAUGUCACAGACGCUUUUCCCUCCUUGCUAACCGGCUCAGCACUUACUUAGGGAGUGUAACCUAAGGCAUCUAAACUCUGGUUUGGCCUCUGCUCUUGAUUCAUGGUGUGUAACCCAGCGUGAGCCGCCUCUCUGGUUGGGCCCCACCCCGCUUCUCUGCAACAUGGGUACAUUGAUUUAGAUGGGGAGCUGCAAAUUGAAAGCCCUCCUGGUACCAUUAACACAUUGGGCAGGUCUGGUGGGAACAGUGGAGACUGGCCAGGAGCAUGUCCCUUCUGAAGGGGACAGCCUCUGUCACCUCUGGAUGUUCACGGUCACCUGGGAGAGCAGGCCCCAUGUUGCCCUUUCCAGGACAAGCUGGACGCCCAGCUCAAGGGUUUGUAAUGUUGGCAAGGGGGUUGGCCCUUGGGUUAAUUUGCUCUCAGAGCCCCUUCUUGCCCUGCCGCUGUUUUGCUCUGUGUCUUAGGGGGGGCUCUCCCCUUAAGGGUCCUGGCUUGGGUGCCUUGAUUUGUCAGAGGUGCGGGUUCUGGAUGUUGACAGGAAGGUGAGUGGCUGGGAGGCAGGGCUAAGCCUGGUGUUUCCCUUAUCUCCCUGCCUUGGGUAUCAUCUCUGGCGAGGCCCGUGUCUCUGGCACCAGUCGGAGUUCCAGGCCGGCCGGGUCACUGAGGCCUCUGGGCUCUGGUGAUACCUCCUGCCUUUGUCCCCAGGGGGCUUGUUGCUGUUGCUAAUCUCUGCGUAGCCUUGCUGAUAUGUCAUGUCCUGUGUUUCUAUUAAAUUGCCUCUGCUUUAAAUACCUGGAGGGUUUUAUAGGUUCUUGGUUGGACUCUGACUGAUACAGUUAAUAUUAUGAUUAUGAUUAUUAUUAUUACUUAACACAGUGACGGCUUGUCUGUGGGCUGGGUGGAGUGUGGAGAGCACCGGUGUGUGACUGGUUUGGGUAAGCUGAAUUUCAGGGUUGUGACUUGGUUCAGAAUGGACCUGGGAAAUCUGAUACUAUCAGCCCUUGUAUUUUAGGAACCUUUACUCUUCAGAGCAAACAUGUUCUCCAGGGCAUCUGGAUUCUGGUCCAUCUGCCUCCACUAAAAGCUGGCCUCUUGCUCUUCACACUGGGGCCUCUUCUGGCCCUGCCCGGCCCAGCCCCUGGUCGGUACGCCCUCCUGGCAACAAGCUGGCAUUGCUGCCCGACGGCCUGAGAGAAGGCCUGGGUGGGCUCCAAGCAGGCACGUGACUUUGCCUGCACCCUUACACCUGCCUUCAACACCCAGGCCCACGGUGCGAGAGUGCAGGUCAGGACCAGAGCCCGGGGCUCCUUCCCUGGGCGGCCACCCGUACGUCCCGCUUGGUGCCAGAUGCUGGAGAUGUCGCCACUGGGAAGACCCAGACUCACCACUGGGGAGCUGGGCACUGGUCCAGCGGGCAUGGAGCGUCCUGCGGGUCAAGGGGGAGUGAACUGAGCAGAGGAGCCCCGGGAGGGAGAGCUAUGGGGCUCCGCAGCUUAGCUCCUGACUUCUGGGUUGUCCCACCUCAGUAUGGAAGAUGCUCCCUUUCCGCCUGACAUCGUGUGAUUUGGGGACAGUCCGACUCGGAAUGAAAGAGGCCAGCCCUGUGGCUGGCUGCCCCCUGCCCCUGGUGGUGGCGCCCGUCCCGCCAGCCCUCCUGCCCUCGCAGCUUCGGGACGGCUCCCUCCUGGUGAUCUCAUCCUCCCCUCUGAGUGGGGCUGUGAAGUGUCUCAUCCAGGCUUUUAUCUGGCACAUCCACAAUUAUAAUGUCAAGAUUGAAUAAUCUGCCUUUAUCUCCCGGGUGACAGCCAUGUAGAAACUUCAAAAGAAACAGUUUUGCUGGCAUCUAACGGCUUUUGUUAAUUACUAUAUCCCAAAGAAAAUGAAAUAAAGGAGGAAGAAAAAUGAUA